UCCCUUUUAUCCAUAACGUGUAUCCCCCCUUGGCAUUUGAUGACCAUGGGAUACUAUCUCAUCUCAUUAGGGUCGACCCUUAGCGUGUGUACAUGCGCUACGCGUUAUAUCUCAAUCCCGACGGAGGUCCAUGAUACCUACAGGUAUUUAAAUAUUAGAGUUUUGUUUUUGUUUUUUUUUUUUUAACUAUUUUCUAUAAAAUUUAGUUUUAUAUUAUAAGGAUCUAUAAUGAUUAUGAAUGUUAAAAUUUAUGUAGACUAAGUUUGACUUAGGGGGAAAAGAUCAUUCAAAAUGGAUUUUUAACUCAGUCUAUUCAAAGUGGAGAAAUUACAAAAGUGAUUUAAAGGCACUUAAUUUGAAUGACAACAAGUCUCCCAUGGAGUUAUUAAGGAAUGUACCAGAAACUGUGAAUGUUGACAAAUGUGUUAGUCUUAUGCAAUUUUGGUACUUAGAAGAAGGGAAGGUAAUACUUUAAAUUUGUUAUGGAGGUAAUACUUUAAAUGUGUUGUGGUUUUGUGUGAAUGCGUUUUUUCUUUUAUAUAUGAGUAUUACUAUAUUUCAUUGGUCAACAAAGUUUUAGUAAAAUUGUAACACUGAAAUAAUAUGAGUGGUAUGCUUGUAAUAAUCUUUUGACUAUGUUAUGUGUAUGCUUAUAGAAACGUAGCACAAAAAAUAAGGCGAAUCGAAAGAAUCAAGGUGUACCCCAUACUAUGGGUCAAAAAAGUUUUACAAGAAUUCAUGAUGAGAAGGUAAUUAUUGAUAAGAUUGUAACUAAAAAAUGAAAUGGUUUUGUUAUUCAUUUCUAUUUUGGUAUGAAGUUUCUAAUUAUGACAUUUAUAAUAUGAAAAUAGCAUAAAGAAAUUGGAGUGGAGCUAGACCGUGUAGACUUAUAUAUAAUUACUUAUAAACGCAGAGACGGGGAUCCUGUAGAUGACAUUGCAUGAGCUAUGAUUGUAUGUAUUAUUUAUAUUUUUUAAUUAAAAUAAUAUUCAAAUAUUAUCUUUUAAAUAUAAUCAUACUUAUUUAAAGUAACAUACUUGUUUGUAAAUUGCAAGAUAAAAUUGAGAGAAAAAAAUCAGGAUCCAGUACCUCCCAAAACACGAGUGAGAAUAUCACUUGGGAUAAUGACAUUUUUCCUCAAGUGAAGAAAAAAGAUAAACGUGGACGUGUUUUUGGGUUAGGAUUGCUUCCUACAACUUUUUCAGCUUAUUGUUUCCCUGGAGAAAUUGGGACAAGUUCUGAACAUGAUAAAAGGGUGCUUUCAACGAAAAAUAAAGUUGAUACGAUGCAAACCUUAAUUGAAAAACUUGUGUCAACCAUUCAAGAUUUACGUCAUGAGUUUGAUAUGGAAGAUUGUACACUCCCUCCUUCACAGUCAAUGGAACAGGUACUCUGUACUUUUAAUGGUCAAAAUGAGUCACCACAACAAGGAAAUAACUCAGAAACUCAAAUAUAGAGCUUGGGAGGCUUGGGCUCAAAGAAGGAGCACUUAAAAACUAGUGGAGUUUGAUAGUUUUUUUUUUUUUUUUUACCAUACAAUUUGAAUUCUGAAAGUAUGAUGGAGUUUAAUUUUUUUAUAUAAGAUUGUAGAAUUUUUUAUUUUGGAUACAAUUGAUUGGGAUGAUGA